rnacentral:rRNA from 1 species
ACGGGGAGCACCACAACAGGUGGAGCCUGCGGUUUAAUCGGACUCAACGCCGGGAAACUCACCAGAUAAGACAGCUGAAUGAUAGUCGGGCUGAAGACUCUACUUGACUAGCUGAGAGGAGGUGCAUGGCCGUCGUCAGUUCGUACUGUGAAGCAUCCUGUUAAGUCAGGCAACGAGCGAGACCCACGCCAACAGUUGCCGGCUCGUCCUCCGGGAUGGUGGGGACACUGUUGGGACCGCCUCUGCUAAAGAGGAGGAAGGAAUGGGCAACGGUAGGUCAGCAUGCCCCGAAUUAUCUGGGCUACACGCGGGCUACAAUGGGUGGGACAAUGGGUAUCGACACCGAAAGGUGAAGGCAAUCUCCUAAACCCAUCCGUAGUUCGGAUUGUGGGCUGCAACUCGCCCACAUGAAGCUGGAAUCUGUAGUAAUCGUGUCUCAAAAUGGCACGGUGAAUAUGUCCCUGCUCCUU